GGGAAGAAGAAAGCCUCAAUAUCCACACUGUAGGCCAGCAAGCCUCUGCUGCAUAUCAAAAGGAUAUAGAGACAUCAGCUCAGCAGAGGCCGAGGGCCACUCACUUGCUGGCAGGAUAAUGGAGCUGGCUUGGAAGACUGUCCUUAGCAAGCUAAGCAGGGUUUGGUGAAAAUGGUGGCGGUUUCCACAGCUCAUCCAGGGUUAUAAUGCCUGCCCUCCAAGAAGAUUCAGGCAGACCUUCUUGCUUGAUUGCUCCUCAGGGAAGCUGAAGGCUAUUGCUACACCGAGUGCUAUUAAACCUCUUAGCAGUGGUUGCAGGGAGGGGGAAAGACUUCUUUUUUCAGAGUAUGGGUGCUUUUCUUGCCCAGAGGGAAACUGAGUCUGGGGAUGAGAAGGCAGAAAAUGGUUCCCAGGCAUAAUGCCUGAUAAGGUCUUUCUCCGAACAUGAAGUGAUCAGCUGUCUGAAGCAAAGGUUACUGCAGAAGUGUUAGUUUAAAGCAGUUCAGCACAACCACAAUAAAUGUAAUGCUACCAGUGUGUGGGAAGAGCUUGGAAUAAACCUAAGACUGCUGCUCUCAGAAAGGAAAGCUUUCAAAAUGUGGCCACAGUCAUUUUAAGGCAGAGCAACACAGUUUUGGAUGAGGUAGAUAUUCGUGCUGGCAGAUGCUACUUGAAAGUGUCAUUGUCUGGUUCUGUGUCCGGGUAAGGCAGUGGCAGAGGUUGCUGGUUUCUGGCAGGUUAGCUUUCUUCUGAGAGGUUCUCACAGAACAGCGAGUUACACUUCUCUUUCCUCUUCUCUCUAGCUUUGGAGAAAAUGCGGAGUCAAGCCAUUUGGGGCCUGCAGAAUGUUAGCCCUGAGGUAAAUGGCCUUCUGGAAAAAUUUGAAGUGACUUCUCCGAAGUACAGCAAGAAGAUGCAAAGAUAUCAGUAAAUACUAACUCCUCUAGUAGCAGAGAAGACCAGGCCUUUAAAGAGAUGAGGUGGCUGGAGCAUGCUGGGAGGACAUGGGGAGGAGUGAAGCAGUGGAGGCAGCAGUGAAGAGCAGUAGAGGAGCUGAGUGCCUGGAGA